CAGGGAGACAACAAAAUGUUUAAUAUUAUUAUUUUGUCACCUUAGGUCGAUCGGUAUCUCACGUUUUUAAUUUAUUAAGAAUUUCAUUUCCUAAGUUUUUCUAGGUCACACCCAUUAUUUUUCCUGGGCCAUUAGCUCAGGUGGUUAGAGCGCACCCCUGAUAAGGGUGAGGUCCCUGGUUCAAGUCCAGGAUGGCCCAUAUCUCUAUGUUGGGGGUAUAGCUCAGUUGGUAGAGCGCCUGCUUUGCAAGCAGGAUGUCAGCGGUUCGAGUCCGCUUACCUCCACUGAUCACCACCUCUUCCAUAAUCGGUAGAAAGGAAAUUUUUUGAGUUGUGAUCAAAUUCUGAAAGAAUCUAGCUUCCUAAUGAAAUCAUUAAGAUGCUGGACUCAUUGAAUUAAUUUCAUUGUUUUCAGAGAACCUUGACAACUGCAUAGAUUAUUUUUAAAGACAAUAAGCAUCUUUAAUGAUGCAGAUUUAUUAUUUGUGCAAAUGCAUUAAUAACAAUUCUAUUAAGCUGAUGCUUCAAUUUUUGAAGUUAUUG
rnacentral:tRNA from 1 species